GAGGAGUGUGCCCACCUUUUAUACCUGUGGGCGGGGAUUCAGGAAUACCACCUGGAGUUGCUGUGACCACUCUAGAAUAUUACCCCCAUCCAUCCUCAACUUGGGAAAGUCAGCAGGCGGAAGAGCGCAUGCGCGAAGUCCAUUUCAGCUCUGCCGUCGUCGUGGAAGGAUCUAUUUAUCGCGGCUC